rnacentral:lncRNA from 1 species
CUGCUAUUCUUUCUUGUCAUUUGUUUCUCCAUUUUAGCUUUCAUAUGCAAUAUAACAUAUAAUGAACUUCUACUGUUUUCCUUCUUUUCAUUUUACUCAUUCAUUAAUGUUUUCAAAUUCAUUUAACUCAUUAGUUAAUGAAUUAUGUGUGGAUGCCAAACUUGUCAUUAUGAGUGAAUCCACCCAUACAUACAUGCGUUUGUAACUGUGUGUACUGCAAGCAUGCAUUUGACUAUUUGAGUAUGUAAGCAUGUAUUCAAGGAAAGACAUAUAUGUAGGGUAAAACAAUGAAACACUAGCCCAACCAUGGAGAACCUGGACCUUCACAACAUGCUUUGUUGUAAAUUCAGGGAACAAGGAUG